CUACGGGCUGCACCAGUGAGGAAUAUUGGACAAUGGGCGAAAGCCUGAUCCAGCAAUACCGCGUGAGUGAUGAAGGCCUUAGGGUUGUAAAACUCUUUCAGUAGGGAAGAUAAUGACGGUACCUACAGAAGAAGCACCGGCUAACUCCGUGCCAGCAGCCGCGGUAUACGGAGGGUGCUAGCGUUGUUCGGAAUUACUGGGCGUAAAGCGCGCGUAGGCGGUUUGACAAGUUGGAAGUGAAAGCCCAGGGCUCAACCUUGGAAUUGCUUUCAAAACUGUCAAACUAGAGUGUGGUAGGGGACAGUGGAAUUCCUAGUGUAGAAGUGAAAUUCGUAGAUAUUAGGAGGAACACCAGAGGCGAAGGCGACUGUCUAGGCCACUACUGACGCUAAGGCGCGAAAGCGUGGGGAGCAAACAGGAUUAGAACCCCAGUAGUC
rnacentral:rRNA from 1 species